UACGUAGGGGGCGAGCGUUGUCCGGAUUUAUUGGGCGUAAAGAGCUCGUAGGCGGUUCGAUAAGUCGGACGUGAAAUCUCCACGCUCAACGUGGAGGGGCCGUUCGAUACUGUCGUGACUCGAGUCCGGUAGGGGAGUGUGGAAUUCCCGGUGUAGCGGUGAAAUGCGCAGAUAUCAGGAAGAACACCUAUGGCGAAGGCAGCUCUCUGGGACGGUACUGACGCUGAGACGCGAAAGCGUGGGGAGCGAACAGG
rnacentral:rRNA from 1 species